GACGGGGAGCACCACAACGGGUGGAGCUUGUCGGUUUAAUUGGAUUCAACGCCGGAAAUCUUACCGGGACCGACAGCAAUAUGAAGGCCAGGCUGAAGACUUUGCCGGAUUAGCUGAGAGGUGGUGCAUGGCCGUCGUCAGUUCGUACUGUGAAGCAUCCUGUUAAGUCAGGCAACGAGCGAGACCCACGCCCACAGUUGCCAGCGUACUCUCUGGAGUGACGGGUACACUGUGGGGACCGCCGCUGCUAAAGCGGAGGAAGGAAUGGGCAACGGUAGGUCAGUAUGCCCCGAAUAUCCCGGGCUACACGCGAGCUACAAUGGUUGGUACAAUGGGUAUCUACCCCGAAAGGGGACGGGAAUCUCCUAAAACCAAUCUUAGUUCGGAUUGAGGGCUGCAACUCGCCCUCAUGAAGCUGGAAUCCGUAGUAAUCGCGUUUCAACAGAACGCGGUGAAUACGUCCCUGCUCCUU
rnacentral:rRNA from 1 species